rnacentral:rRNA from 1 species
UGGGGAAUAUUGCGCAAUGGGGGGAACCCUGACGCAGCCAUGCCGCGUGAAUGAAGAAGGCCUUAGGGUUGUAAAGUUCUUUCGGUAUUGAGGAAGGUUGAUGUGUUAAUAGCACAUCAAAUUGACGUUAAAUACAGAAGAAGCACCGGCUAACUCCGUGCCAGCAGCCGCGGUAAUACGGAGGGUGCGAGCGUUAAUCGGAAUAACUGGGCGUAAAGGGCACGCAGGCGGUUAUUUAAGUGAGGUGUGAAAGCCCUGGGCUUAACCUAGGAAUUGCAUUUCAGACUGGGUAACUAGAGUACUUUAGGGAGGGGUAGAAUUCCACGUGUAGCGGUGAAAUGCGUAGAGAUGUGGAGGAGUACCGAAGGCGAAGGCAGCCCCUUGGGAAUGUACUGACGCUCAUGUGCGAAAGCGUGGGGAGCAAACAGGAUUAGAUACCCUGGUAGUCCACGCUGUAAACGCUGUCGAUUUGGGGGUUGGGGUUUAACUCUGGCGCCCGUAGCUAACGUGAUAAAUCGACCGCCUGGGGAGUACGGCCGCAAGGUUA